GUGCUUGCUUUGGCAGCGCACAAACUAAAACUGCAACAUACAGGGAAGGUUAGCAUGGCCCCUGCGUGAGGAUGACACGCAAAUUCAUGGUGUUCCAUACAGGUAU